rnacentral:rRNA from 1 species
ACUCCUACGGGAGGCAGCAGUAGGGAAUCUUCCGCAAUGGACGCAAGUCUGACGGAGCAACGCCGCGUGAGUGAAGAAGGUUUUCGGAUCGUAAAACUCUGUUGUCAGUGAAGAACAAGCGGGACAGGAACUGGUCCCGCCGUGACGGUAGCUGACCAGAAAGCCACGGCUAACUACGUGCCAGCAGCCGCGGUAAUACGUAGGUGGCAAGCGUUGUCCGGAUUUAUUGGGCGUAAAGCGAGCGCAGGCGGUCCCUUAAGUCUGAUGUGAAAGCCCACGGCUCAACCGUGGAAGGUCAUUGGAAACUGGGGGACUUGAGGGGCAGAAGAGGAGAGUGGAAUUCCAUGUGUAGCGGUGAAAUGCGUAGAUAUAUGGAGGAACACCAGUGGCGAAGGCGACUCUCUGGUCUGUUACUGACGCUGAGGCUCGAAAGCGUGGGGAGCAAACAGGAUUAGAUACCCUGGUAGCGAGU